rnacentral:lncRNA from 1 species
UUGGCCAAGCUGGUCUCGAACUCCUGUCCUCGAACUCCUGUCCUCAAGUGAUCCACCCGCCUCAGCCUCUCAAAGUGCUGGGAUUACAGGUGUGAGCCACCACACCCAGCAGUGUUUUAUUUUUGAGACAGGGUAUCAUUCUGUUGCCCAGGCUUGAGUGCAGUGGUGCAAUCAUAGAUCACUGCAGCCUUUUAACUCCUGGGCUCAAGUCAUCCUCCUGCUUAGCCUCCCAAGUAGCUAGGACCACAGACACAUGCCAUCACACUUGGCUAUUUUUAAAAAAUUUUUUGUAGAGAUGGGGUCUCGCUAUGUUACCCAAACUGGUCCUGAACUCCUGGACUCAAUUGAUCCUCCCACCUUGGCCUUCCAGGUGCUGGGAUUUCUUUGGGAGUACAGCAUGGUACAGCAGGAGAUCAUUUGAUGUUACCUCUGUGCAGUGUUGCUAGUCAGCGAAAGACUAUAAUACCUGUGGGGACAGCGAUUAGCCACCACAACCAGUCUUUAUUUAAAGUUAUUAAAAAUGGCUGGGCGCAGUGGCUCACACCUGUAAUCCUAGCACUUUGGGAGGCCGAGGCAGAUGGAUCACCUGACGUGAGGAAUUUGAUACCAGCCUGGCCAACAUGGUGAAACCCCAUCUCUACUAAAAAAUACAAAAAUUAGCUGGGUGUGGUCCUGUAGUCCCAGCUACUUGGGAGGCUGGGGCAGGAGAAUUACUUGAACCCAGGAGGCAGAGGUUGCAGUGAGCCGAGAUUGUGCCACUGCACUCCAGCCUGGGUGACAGAGAGAGAUUCCAUCUCAAAAAAACAAGUUAUUAAAAAUGUAUAUGAAUGCUCCUAAUAUGGUCAGGAAGCAAGGAAGCGAAGGAUAUAUUAUGAGUUUUAAGAAGGUGCUUAGCUGUAUAUUUAUCUUUCAAAAUGUAUUAGAAGAUUUUAGAAUUCUUUCCUUCAUGUGCCAUCUCUACAGGCACCCAUCAGAAAAAGCAUACUGCCGUUACCGUGAAACUGGUUGUAAAAGAGAAACUAUCUAUUUGCACCUUAAAAGACAGCUAGAUUUUGCUGAUUUUCUUCUUUCGGUUUUCUUUGUCAGCAAUAAUAUGUGAGAGGACAGAUUGUUAGAUAUGAUAGUAUAAAAAAUGGUUAAUGACAAUUCAGAGGCGAGGAGAUUCUGUAAACUUAAAAUUACUAUAAAUGAAAUUGAUUUGUCAAGAGGAUAAAUUUUAGAAAACACCCAAUACCUUAUAACUGUCUGUUAAUGCUUGCUUUUUCUCUACCUUUCUUCCUUGUUUCAGUUGGGAAGCUUUUGGCUGCAAGUAACAGAAACUCCUAAUUCAAAUGGCUUAAGCAAUAAGGAAAUGUAUAUUCCCACAUAACUAGACGUUCAAACAGGCCAGGCUCCAGCACUUCAGUACGUCACCAGGGAUCUGGGUUCUUCCCAGCUCUCUGCUCUGCCAUCUUUAGCGCUGGCUUCAUUCUCAGACUCUGGUAGCAUGAUGGCUGUAGCUGUUUCAUGGGCCCCUUCAAACCUCAUAGCAACCAGAGGAAGAAAAUGAGCCAUUUUUUGAGUCUCCUUCAUAGACUUGAAUAACUCUUUUUCAGAGCUUCUCACAGCAAACCUCUCCUCAUGUCUCCUCAUGUCUUAUUGUUCAGAAAUGGGUAAUGUGGCCAUUUCACCAGUCACUGCCAACAACAACGAGGUUCCUAUAAUUGUCUCUGAGUAACCCUUUGGAAUGGAGAGGGUGUUGGUCAGUCUACAAACUGAACACUGCAGUUCUGCGCUUUUUACCAGUGAAAAAAUGUAAUUAUUUUCCCCUCUUAAGGAUUAAUAUUCUUCAAAUGUAUGCCUGUUAUGGAUAUAGUAUCUUUAAAAUUUUUUAUUUUAAUAGCUUUAGGGGUACACACUUUUUGCUUACAGGGGUGAAUUGUGUAGUGGUGAAGACUCGGCUUUUAAUGUACUUGUCACCUGAGUGAUGUACAUUGUACCCAAUAGGUAAUUUUUCAUCCAUUACCCUCCUUCCGCCCUCUUCCCUUCUGAGUCUCCAACAUCCCUUAUACCACUGUGUAUGUUCUUGUGUACCUACAGCUAAGCUUCCACUUAUAAGUGAGAACAUGCAGUAUUUGGUUUUCCAUUCCUGAGUUACUUCCCUUAGGAUAACAGCCCCCAGUUCCGUCCAAGUUGCUGCAAAAUACAUUAUUCUUCUUUAUGGCUGAGUAAUAGUCCAUGGUACAUAUAUACCACAUUUUCUUUAUCCACUUAUCAGUUGAUGGACACUUAGGUUAAUUCCAUUCAAUUUCAUUCAAUUUAAGUAUAUUUGUAAGGAGCUAAAGCUGAAAAUUAAAUUUUAGAUCUUUCAAUACUCUUAAAUUUUAUAUGUAAGUGGUUUUUAUAUUUUCACAUUUGAAAUAAAGUAAUUUUUAUAAUCUUG